CACAGCUGUAGUACCUUGCAAAACAGAAACACAUAAUAGGACAACAUUUCUCACAUUUAUAGAUGGGCUGAAAGUAUGCCAAGUUCCUUCCAAACCACAACUUU